rnacentral:rRNA from 1 species
CGCGUAGGUGGCUUAACAAGUCAGGGGUGAAAUCCCACAGCUCAACUGUGGAACUGCCUUUGAAACUGUUAAGCUAGAGUGUCGGAGGGGAUAGCGGAAUUGCUAAUGUAGAGGUGAAAUUCGUAGAUAUUAGCAGGAACACCGGUGGCGAAGGCGGCUAUCUGGACGACAACUGACACUGAGGCGCGAAAGCGUGGGGAUCAAACA